UACGUAGGUGGCAAGCGUUAUCCGGAAUUAUUGGGCGUAAAGCGCGCGCAGGCGGUUUCUUAAGUCUGAUGUGAAAGCCCACGGCUCAACCGUGGAGGGUCAUUGGAAACUGGGGAACUUGAGUGCAGAAGAGAAAAGCGGAAUCCCACGUGUAGCGGUGAAAUGCGUAGAGAUGUGGAGGAACACCAGUGGCGAAGGCGGCUUUUUGGUCUGUAACUGACGCUGAGACGCGAAAGCGUGGGGAGCGAACCGG
rnacentral:rRNA from 1 species